rnacentral:rRNA from 1 species
UACGUAGGGGGCUAGCGUUGUCCGGAAUUACUGGGCGUAAAGCGCGCGCAGGCGGUCUUCCAAGUCAGUGGUGAAAGCCCGGAGCUCAACUCCGGAACUGCCAUUGAAACUGUUAGACUUGAGGAUGAGAGAGGUGAGUGGAAUUCCCAGUGUAGAGGUGAAAUUCGUAGAUAUUCGCAAGAACACCAGUGGCGAAGGCGGCCAACUGGUCCGGUACUGACGCUGAGGUGCGAAAGCGUGGGGAGCAAACAGG